CAUAGCGACUAUCGUGGCAUAUCAAUAAGCGGAGGAAAAGAAACUAACAAGGAUUCCCUUAGUAACGGCGAGUGAAGCGGGAAGAGCUCAAAUUUGAAAUCUUCAAGGUUCUACCUUGACGAAUUGUAGUUUAUAGAAGUGUUUUCUGUUAGUGGAGUGGCAAAAGUUCUUUGGAAUAGGACAUCAUAGAGGGUGAGAAUCCCGUAUUUGGUCAUUCCUCCUAGCGUUGUGAUACACUUUCAACGAGUCGGAUUGUUUGGGAAUGCAGUCCAAAAUGGGUGGUAAAUUUCAUCUAAAGCUAAAUAUUGGCGAGAGACCGAUAGCGAACGAGUACCGUGAGGGAAAGAUGAAAAGAACUUUGAAAAGAGAGUUAAACAGUACGUGAAAUUGUCAAAAGGGAAGCGUUUGACACCAGUGUUGUUUUUCCGAAAAUCAAUUACGAAUGUUUUGUUUUUGAGGAGUUAUGACUUCAUCGGCUUGCUCCUUUCUUUACGAAACUUUCUUAAUGCACUUUUCGGUUAACAAGUCAACAUCAAUUUCUUUUGUUGUAAAAGGGUAAGAGGAAGGUGGCUUACGCUUCGGCGUAAGUGUUUAUAGCCUUUUACCUCUGCAAUCGGAGAGAUUGAGGACAGCAGCGUAGACUCUUCGGGGUUAGAUACACUUGUGCUAAGCUAUAGCCUUGUAUAGACAACUUGUUGACUAUGCUCAGUCAUGUAGCUUACUCGCAUUGUGCUAUUUUACCUACGCUUAGGAUGUUGACGAGACUGUCGAUCUC
rnacentral:rRNA from 1 species